rnacentral:rRNA from 1 species
UGGGGAAUUGUUCGCAAUGGGCGCAAGCCUGACGACGCAACGCCGCGUGGAGGAUGAAGGUCUUCGGAUUGUAAACUCCUGUUGCCAGGGACGAAAAGCUCCGACCUAACACGUCGGAGUCUGACGGUACCUGGUGAGGAAGCCCCGGCUAACUCUGUGCCAGCAGCCGCGGUAAUACAGAGGGGGCUAGCGUUGUUCGGAAUUACUGGGCGUAAAGGGCGCGUAGGCGGCCCGCUAAGUCGAACGUGAAAUCCCCGGGCUCAACCCGGGAACUGCGUCCGAUACUGGCAGGCUUGAAUCCGGGAGAGGGAUGUGGAAUUCCAGGUGUAGCGGUGAAAUGCGUAGAUAUCUGGAGGAACACCGGGUGGCGAAGGCGGCAUCCUGGACCGGUAUUGACGCUGAGGCGCGAAAGCCAGGGGAGCAAACGGGAUUAGAUACCCCGGUAGUCCUGGCCCUAAACGAUGAAUGCUUGGUGUGGCGGGUAUCGAUCCCUGCCGUGCCGAAGCUAACGC